rnacentral:lncRNA from 1 species
GCGAUCUCGGCCGGGGAGCGUCGCUGAGAGGAAGCUUUCUGCAAUGUCUCCAGGUAACUUCGAAGCACCGAUCUCAAAGCAGGAAAACCUGCUGAGAUGUGGAAAAUCUUGAAGGAAAAGACAUUUUAAAUUGAAACCAGCUUGAAUCCUGAAACACUGAAGCUUUCCAGCCUUCAGACAGCUGCCUGCACGUCCUUUCCCUGAAAUCCUCUCUCCUGACCAGCGUAUGGAAUCCUGCACUCCUCCUCCCAGGUCCCAACACUAUGCCGUGCUCAGAUUUGAGAAGGACAAAGAUUAAAAGAAGAGGGGAAAUGAAAAGCAGGGUACUGGAGGAUGAACGAUACCAACCUUAAUGAUACACAACACCAUCUUGUGCUGCUUAUUUCUGUGCCUCGAACUGUUUGCCACAAUUUCUCUGAAAAAAAAGCCAGAAAAUGUGUGUUUUAAAAUGCCAUUCCCCUGUAAUGUGAAUCACAGUAAAAUACUGCUGUAGGAUCUCCUGAACACCAGCCAGAUCAGCAGUCGGUACCAUGAAGAGAGGAAGAACAUGCAUGAGCUGUCUGACCCAACAACAGCUGAAUAAAGAAUAACCUGAGAUUUGCAACCAUAAAGCUUGCAACCAUAAACCAUUGCAAAUUAGCAGUAAUGGAGAGAACUAACAUUACAUGUCUUUAUAGGGCUUUGCUAAACUAAGUAACAAAUUAAUUGGUUUUAAUAAAUAACUCCUUUUCUUUCCUGUA